rnacentral:ncRNA from 2 species
GUACGUUCUCGGGGCCGGGGUGAAAAUCCCCACCGGCGGUGAGUCCCACGCAAGUGAGACCGAGCCCGCGAGCGCUCAUCGAGAGGUGAGGACAGCAGAUCCGGUGUGAAUCCGGAGCCGACGGUCAUAGUCCGGAUGCGAGAGAACAAGG